rnacentral:lncRNA from 1 species
GGCUGUUUCAGUUGAGCCAAGGAAUGGGAGGCGCCCUAGCCUGCCCGCAGGCCACAGCGCUUGGAAUCCUGCCUUCCCUGCUAUCUCCCUGAGGCAAGGGGUUGGAGGAGUGUUUCUCAAUGAGUCUCCACCUUACUUAUUGAGACACAGUGUGUCACUGAACCUGGAGCUCACUGACUCAACUUGACUGGGUAGCCAACAAACCCUAGGGACCCUGCUAUCCCUCAGCUUCUCCAGGAUUGUGAUUCCAUGCAUGUAUCACCGUGCCCAGGACGUUCUGACAAAUGCUCUAACAUUAAGCCAAGUGAAAUCAGCCAGUGACAAAAAUACAAAUGUUCUGAUCACACUUAACUAAGGGCUCGGGUGUGGCGCAGUUGUAGAACACUUGACUCCAUAAAGCCAUGGAUUCCAUUGUCAGCAGUGCAAAAAGAAAUAAAUGAACUUAUAUUUAUCAAA